AUUGAACGCUGGCGGCAGGCCUAACACAUGCAAGUCGAGCGAGCGGCGGACGGGUGUGUAAUGUAUGGGGACUGCCCGCUAGAGGGGGAUAACUACUGGAAACGGUAGCUAAUAUCGCAUACUAUCGGCUAACCCAUAUGGGAUUAGCUAGUAGGUGGGGUAAUGGCUCACCUCGGCGACGAUCCCUAGCGGGUCUGAGAGGAUGAUCAGCCACAUUGGGACUGAGAUACCGCCCAGACUCCUACGGGGGCGGCAGUGGGGGAUAUGGCACAAUGGGCGAAAGCCUGAUGCAGCGACGCCGCAUGGGGGAUGAAGGCUUUCGGGUUGUAAACCUCUUUCGCUAUAGAACGGGUAGGUGGAGAAGAAGCGCCGGCUAACUACGUGCCAGCAGCCGCGGUAAUUC
rnacentral:rRNA from 1 species